rnacentral:rRNA from 1 species
CCGUAGCGAAAGCGAGUCUGAAUAGGGCGCUGAGUAUUUGGUCGUAGACCCGAAACCAGGUGAUCUACCCAUGACCAGGUUGAAGUUCAGGUAACACUGAAUGGAGGACCGAACCGACUUACGUUGAAAAGUGAGCGGAUGAGUUGUGGGUAGCGGAGAAAUUCCAAUCGAACUUGGAGAUAGCUGGUUCUCUCCGAAAUAGCUUUAGGGCUAGCCUCAAGUGAUGAUUAUUGGAGGUAGAGCACUGUUUGGACGAGGGGCCCCUCUCGGGUUACCGAAUUCAGACAAACUCCGAAUGCCAAUCAAUUUAACUUGGGAGUCAGAACAUGGGUGAUAAGGUCCGUGUUCGAAAGGGAAACAGCCCAGACCACCAGCUAAGGUCCCAAAAUAU